AACAGGGUGUGUCUUCUCCAAACGUUGUACCUCACAUAAGAACUGGCUGGACGGGAAGUGUGACUUCAACAAAGGACAUCUGAUUAUGUCCACAUAUAAGAGAUUUCCAUGAAGGCAAAUGUGUUUCCUCCUGUAGUCAAACUGUUUUCUCAAUGUGCUUGUGUUUAGAUGCAGAGAGUUGGAUGUCAUGAUCGCCAUAGGGAAGUUCAUAUAGAGAACUGAAACUGAUGAAUUUGCUCAUCUUGGAAUUGCUCUGGAGAAGUACGAGCGUAUUUGCUGAAGUAAUUUUCAACAUCCCGGAAAAUGACUUAUCGGUCACUUCUCUCUGUUGGAUCAGUGGACUGAAGAAGACCAACAUGAAUGAAGGGAUUGUCUAAUCGUCGAUUUGUUCAAGGAUAUCAAGAAAAAGCUUCCCAUCCAGUGUGUGCACAAUGCGGAUGGAUAUCCUCCUGUGAUCGUCUACGGUGAUGAAACAUUCGACUUUUAUUAUCAACAAGAUGCGGUGCAGCAGCAUGAUUCUGGAGAAGGCCCCUACAGUUCUGUGCGACCUUUCCAACCUGACCGUUAUGAGAAUGAGGACGCUGCUGGUUCGAGUGCCGGGUUGGACGAAGAACAGAAUGUAUACGAGUGCUAGUAGUACAAGUUUUGGAGUUUACAAAGUUUUAGCAUUGAUAGCGUGUACAUGAGUUGAUCAUUAGUUAAAGCAAUUUGCGUUUACAUUGUUAAAGAUGGAAGUAUAGGACACAUUUAAUUAUCAAACUACUUUUUUGACCUUGUAUGUAUUUUUAAUGCCUUUGUUUAUUCUAUAUAUUCUAUCUAUGUAUAUUCUGUAUAUAUAGGUAUUGUUGGAGCUAUAUAUCUCUUUAUAUUAUUUAAUAGUUUAACAUUUUUUUUCUUGCUGUUUAUAGUGUUUAUUGUAAAUGUAUUUUUAGUUAGUGUCAUAAGUUAAAGUAGUUUCUAUGCUUUUAUUUUGAAGGCAUGUUUCGGCACUUUUGCUAUUGAAGUUUUUUAUCCAAAACCUUUAAGUUAUUUUAAAUGUGUUAAACUAUUUCAUGAUGUAUGCUGCUGGAAACAGUCCCCUGUUGUGAGAACAAACAACAACAAAGAUGUGUGUGAGAAGUUUAGCUACUACACAUUGUGUCAAAUAAAUAAACUGAAAAAUAAUGAAGAUGUACUAACAUGAAAAGACAUAACUGUUGGUGCUUUGUUUUUUUGAUACCAUGAUGUACUAGCUUAAAUAAACCAUGUAGAUUCAAAGUUA